rnacentral:rRNA from 1 species
GACAGAGGAUGCAAGCGUUAUCCGGAAUGAUUGGGCGUAAAGCGUCUGUAGGUGGCUUUUCAAGUCCGCCGUCAAAUCCCAGGGCUCAACCCUGGACAGGCGGUGGAAACUACCAAGCUGGAGUACGGUAGGGGCAGAGGGAAUUUCCGGUGGAGCGGUGAAAUGCGCAGAUAUCAGGAGGAAUACCAGCGGCGAAGGCGGCGCUCUGGGCCGGUACUGACGCUGAGGAGCGAAAGCGUGGGGAGCAAACAGG